rnacentral:lncRNA from 1 species
GGCAAAUAAGUGGGUAGUUGAUGCAAACUUUCUGCACACGGGGGUCAACAUGAUAAAAAUGAUUCUUUUGUUUAAACUGAGCGGUUUCCAAACGGCGGAAGGAGACAACAAGGUACACCGGCGGAAGGAGACAACAGGGUAUGAUGGCUUAGGCAGUUUCAAAUGAUGGACCUGCGUCGAAAUGUGAUUCGUUGAUUGGCAAAGGGCGGUGGGCUUCCGUUAAACGGUGGGAAGAGACGCGAGCACUUUCCAAUCGGCGUUUUCGGGGGCUGAGCACUUUCCAAUAGGUGGCACAACGGCGGAUGGCAGUUCGGUAACCGUUGAACGGCGCGUGACAAUGGAAACGACGAGGAAGGUUUUGUCGCUGGAGUGUGAGCUUCUCUCUCUAGGUUUUUCAUUCACAAUCUCUCAAAUUCCAAUUUCAAAUUUGAAAAUGAAAACCAAGCUUCAGACCCCUCCAACUUCAUAAUCCACGUCAUUCUGUCUCUUUUUUCAUUAAAUAUAUGGACCACUGUUAACGGAUUGGGAAGCGUACCAAAUCGUAUCAAGUAAUAAUAAAUGGUAAGUCCAAGUAUCGUUUUCCCAAGAGACUCGAAAGGCCUUAACGUUCAUGUGAAUUAAGAUAGUAAGACUUGAAAAUAAAAUUAAUUAAUUGGAUGUGAGAAUAAAAUAUAAACAUGCAAAAAAGAUUGAUUCAAUUGACGAGAAGAAAACAAUGGAUGAAUGGAGUUGUUGGGGGUUUACAAUUUCAUCUUAUCCGUUCUAUCUUAUUUACUCCUCUUGAAUUAUUAGCUUGAUUAAUUAAUUUUCAUGCAACUUUCUUAGCCUACCCUUAACCCGAUGCCUCGGCGAAAAGAGCCUAUUACUAAUUACUGACUUGCUAUCCCUAGCCUCUCCUAGCAAUUAAUAAAGCAUUAUAGAGCAGAAUUUAAAAGCAAUUGAUCGUCCUACCCCUAUCCCUAGGUGGUAUUGCUUAAUCAAG